UUUAAUUCAUUUUUCUUCUAAAAUUAAUUAAAAAUAAUUUCUUUAUUAUUUUUUUAUCCAAAUUUUUUCCAUAAUUCCAUAAAAAUAUUUUCUACCUCAUGCCAUUUUUUGAAAUUUUUAAAAAUUAUUUUUGCAUUAAAUGCAUAUUUUCUUUUAUUUUUGAUUUAAUUUUCUUUUUGUAUUUUUAUUUUAAUCAUUUUCAAAUAUUUUUAACCCCAACUUCUGAGGUCUAUUCACUCUAAAUUUU
rnacentral:lncRNA from 1 species